CUGGCGGCGUGCCUAAUACAUGCAAGUCGAACGGUCUUUUCUAUGGAAGCUUGCUUCCACUGAGAAGAUAGUGGCGAACGGGCGAGUAACACGUGGGUAACCUGCCCAUAAGAGGGGGGAUAACAUCCGGAAACGGGUGCUAAUACCGCAUAGUUUUCUUGAUCGCAUGAUCGGGAAAGGAAAGACGGCCUUUGUGCUGUCGCUUAUGGAUGGACCCGCGGCGUAUUAGUUAGUUGGUGAGGUAACGGCUCACCAAGACGAUGAUACGUAGCCGACCUGAGAGGGUGAUCGGCCACAUUGGGACUGAGACACGGCCCAAACUCCUACGGGAGGCAGCAGUAGGGAAUCUUCCGCAAUGGACGAAAGUCUGACGGAGCAACGCCGCGUGAGUGAAAGAAGGUUUUCGGAUCGUAAAACUCUGUUGUCAGAGAAGAACAAGUUGGAGAGUAACUGCUCCAGCCUUGACGGUAUCUGACCAGAAAGCCACGGCUAACUACGUGCCAGCCGCCGC
rnacentral:rRNA from 1 species